rnacentral:rRNA from 1 species
GAUGAACGCUGGCGGCGUGCCUAAUACAUGCAAGUCGAGCGAACAGACGAGGAGCUUGCUCCUCUGACGUUAGCGGCGGACGGGUGAGUAACACGUGGAUAACCUACCUAUAAGACUGGGAUAACUUCGGGAAACCGGAGCUAAUACCGUAUAAUAUAUUGAACCGCAUGGUUCAAUAGUGAAAGACGGUUUUGCUGUCACUUAUAGAUGGAUCCGCGCCGCAUUAGCUAGUUGGUAAGGUAACGGCUUACCAAGGCAACGAUGCGUAGCCGACCUGAGAGGGGGGUCGGCCACACUGGAACUGAGACACGGUCCAGGCUCCUACGGGAGGCAGCAGUAGGGAAUCUUCCGCAAUGGGCGAAAGCAUGACGGAGCAACGCCGCGUGAGUGAUGAAGGUCUUCGGAUCGUAAAACUCUGUUAUUAGGGAAGAACAAAUGUGUAAGUAACUAUGCACGUCUUGACGGUACCUAAUCAGAAAGCCACGGCUAACUACGUG